AGUGAACGCUGGCGGUAGGCCUAACACAUGCAAGUCGAACGGCAGCACAGUAAGAGCUUGCUCUUACGGGUGGCGAGUGGCGGACGGGUGAGGAGUACAUCGGAAUCUACUUUUUCGUGGGGGAUAACGUAGGGAAACUUACGCUAAUACCGCAUACGACCUACGGGUGAAAGCAUGGGAUCUUCGGACCUUGCGCGAUUGAAUGAGCCGAUGUCGGAUUAGCUAGUUGGCGGGGUAAAGGCCCACCAAGGCGACGAUCCGUAGCUGGUCUGAGAGGAUGAUCAGCCACACUGGAACUGAGACACGGUCCAGACUCCUACGGGAGGCAGCAGUGGGGAAUAUUGGACAAUGGGCGCAAGCCUGAUCCAGCCAUACCGCGUGGGUGAAGAAGGCCUUCGGGUUGUAAAGCCCUUUUGUUGGGAAAGAAAAGCAGCAGGUUAAUACCCCGCUGUUCUGACGGUACCCAAAGAAUAAGCACCGGCUAACUUCGUG
rnacentral:rRNA from 1 species